rnacentral:rRNA from 1 species
AAUUGCAAGAUAAUUCAUAAAAAGAUGCAACUGCAUCACUACCAGAUGGACCUGCGUUGUAUUAGCUAGUAGGUGAGGUAACGGCUCACCUAGGCGAAGAUACAUAGCCUCCCCAAGAGGGUGAUCGGCCACACUGGGACUGAGACACGGCCCAGACUCCUACGGGAGGCAGCAGUAGGGAAUCUUCGGCAAUGGACGAAAGUCUGACCGAGCAACGCCGCGUGAGUGAAGAAGGUUUUCGGAUCGUAAAGCUCUGUUGUAAGAGAAGAACGGGUGUAAGAGUGGAAAGUUCACACUGUGACGGUAUCUUACCAGAAAGGGACGGCUAACUACGUGCCAGCAGCCGCGGUAAUACGUAGGUCCCGAGCGUUGUCCGGAUUUAUUGGGCGUAAAGCGAGCGCAGGCGGUUAGAUAAGUCUGAAGUUAAAGGCUGUGGCUUAACCAUAGUACGCUUUGGAAACUGUUUAACUGGAGUGCAGAAGGGGAGAGUGGAAUUCCAUGUGUAGCGGUGAAAUGCGUAGAUAUAUGGAGGAACACCGGUGGCGAAAGCGGCUCUCUGGUCUGUAACUGACGCUGAGGCUCGAAAGCGUGGGGAGCGAACAGG